CUCUGUUUGCUCAUCUGUGAAAUGAGGGAAUUAGGGGCCAGCCAACUUUUAGUUCCUAAAAUGGGGAUUUGGGGGUUAGUGACCUGGGUCCGGGCCUCCGUGGAGAGGACCACAGGGCUUGGAACUGCAGCGCUGCUUCUGUCUGGGCUCGGGGCUGGCCUGACCUCUGAUGUGGCAGGUUAUUCCUGAUUGCAGUUAAGAAAAUUUGUGUCAAUCUGGAAACUGGAGGCCUGGGUUCCAUCCUACCCAUGUGUAAUGUUCGAGACAGCUUUCUGGAGGACCUCGGGGUCAGCCCUAGUCCUUGGUCUUAAAGGAGAAAUGAUGAAGGCUGGUCAGAGAUGGAAUGACUCAUUUCUAGUCCUUCCCAGCUCUUAUAUACCUUAGUACAAUUACAUCAUUACUGCAUUCUGAAUAUGUGUGAACUAGAGAACCAUUACAUCACCAUACUAAGUACUAAGUAUAUAUGUAAACUAGAGAACCAUCAUCUCAUCAAUUCCACUGAGUUAACACCUCAGUUCAAGUAUAUUUCUCCAGAGUUCAGGCCCUCUACACCUAUAAUAAAUUGUGUAUUAGGAAAGUC